UACGGAGGGGCUAGCGUUGUUCGGAAUUACUGGGCGUAAAGCGCACGUAGGCGGCUUUGUAAGUUAGAGGUGAAAGCCCGGGGCUCAACUCCGGAAUUGCCUUUAAGACUGCAUCGCUAGAAUUGUGGAGAGGUAAGUGGAAUUCCGAGUGUAGAGGUGAAAUUCGUAGAUAUUCGGAAGAACACCAGUGGCGAAGGCGACU
rnacentral:rRNA from 1 species